rnacentral:rRNA from 1 species
AAUAGAUACCCAGGUAGUCCACGCCGUAAACGAUGAUCACUCGCUGUUGGCGAUAUACAGUCAGUGGCUAAGCAAAAGCAUUAAGUGAUCCACCUGGGGAGUACGGCCGCAAGGCUGAAACUCAAAGGAAUUGACGGGGGCCCGCACAAGCGGAGGAACAUGUGGUUUAAUUCGAUGAUACGCGAGGAACCUUACCUGGGCUUAAAUGCAGAGUGCAUUCUCGGGAAACCGGGAUUUUCUUCGGAACUUUCUGCAAGGUGCUGCAUGGUUGUCGUCAGCUCGUGCCGUGAGGUGUCGGGUUAAGUCCCAUAACGAGCGCAACCCUUAUCGUUAGUUGCCAGCGGGUCAAGCCGGGAACUCUAGCGAAACUGCCGGUGUAAACCGAGAGGAAGGUGGGGAUGACGUCAAAUCAGCACGGCCCUUAUGUCCAGGGCUACACACGUGUUACAAUGGCCGGUACAGAGGGCAGCUAUGCUGUGAGGCAGUGCGAAUCUCGAAAGCCGGUCUCAGUUCGGAUCGGAGUCUG